UUUGUGUGCAGUUGGUAGGUUCUUAUCCUUCUAUUACCGAUGUACAAGUUAUUGCCCCGAGUUUACAAGUGUUCCAUUUUGUUCACUAUAAUAGCAGCAACCUUGCAGUUAAUAUGGACAUCCGUGCUUGUAAAAUGUUGCGGGAAUUUCACUUGGAAUGUCCCACAUUUCCGGUUGGUUUUGAUCAUGAACACUUCAUUUCAGAUUUUCCUUAUCUUGAAA
rnacentral:misc_RNA from 1 species